rnacentral:tRNA from 1 species
UCCCUGAUGGCUCAGAUGGUAAGGUGUCUGCCUGCAGUGCAGAAGACCCAGGUUCGAUCCCUGGGUUGGGAA